rnacentral:rRNA from 1 species
CAGCAGCCGCGGUAAUACGGAGGGGGCUAGCGUUAUUCGGAAUUACUGGGCGUAAAGCGCACGUAGGCGGCUUCGCAAGUCAGAGGUGAAAGCCUGGGGCUCAACUCCAGAAUUGCCUUUGAGACUGCGUCGCUCGAAUCCGGGAGAGGUGAGUGGAAUUCCGAGUGUAGAGGUGAAAUUCGUAGAUAUUCGGAAGAACACCAGUGGCGAAGGCGGCUCACUGGACCGGCAUUGACGCUGAGGUGCGAAAGCGUGGGGAGCAAACAGGAUUAGAUACCCCCGUAGUCCCUGUCUCUUAUAC